CCUACGGGAGGCAGCAGUGGGGAAUACUGGGCAAUGGGCGCAAGCCUGACCCAGCAACGCAGCGUGAAGGAAGAAGGCUUUCGGGUUGUAAACUUCUUUUAAGGGGGAAGAGCAGAAGACGGUACCCCUUGAAUAAGCCACGGCUAACUACGUGCCAGCAGCCGCGGUAAUACGUAGGUGGCAAGCGUUGUCCGGAUUUACUGGGUGUAAAGGGCGUGCAGCCGGAGAGACAAGUCAGAUGUGAAAUCCACGGGCUCAACCCGUGAACUGCAUUUGAAACUGUUUCCCUUGAGUGUCGGAGAGGUAAUCGGAAGUCCUUGUGUAGCGGUGAAAUGCGUAGAUAUAAGGAAGAACACCAGUGGCGAAGGCGGAUUACUGGACGAUAACUGACGGUGAGGCGCGAAAGCGUGGGGAGCAAACAGGAUUAGAUACCCGUGUAGUC
rnacentral:rRNA from 1 species